GAUGAACGCUGGCGGCGUGCCUAAUACAUGCAAGUCGAGCGAACAGACGAGGAGCUUGCUCCUCUGACGUUAGCGGCGGACGGGUGAGUAACACGUGGAUAACCUACCUAUAAGACUGGGAUAACUUCGGGAAACCGGAGCUAAUACCGGAUAAUAUAUUGAACCGCAUGGUUCAAUAGUGAAAGACGGUUUUGCUGUCACUUAUAGAUGGAUCCGCGCCGCAUUAGCUAGUUGGUAAGGUAACGGCUUACCAAGGCGACGAUGCGUAGCCGACCUGAGAGGGUGAUCGGCCACACUGGAACUGGGACACGGUCCAGGCUCCUACGGGAGGCAGCAGUAGGGAAUCUUCCGCAAUGGGCGAAAGCUUGACGGAGCAACGCCGCGUGAGUGAUGAAGGUCUUCGGAUCGUAAAACUCUGUUAUUAGGGAAGAACAAAUGUGUAAGUAACUAUGCACGUCUUGACGGUACCUAAUCAGAAAGCCACGGCUAACUACGUG
rnacentral:rRNA from 1 species